GCCAGCAUGGUGUAGUGGUUUGAGUGUUGGGCUAUGACUCGGAAAGCAGGGUUCGAAUCCCUGCUCAGUCA